GCUAAAAUGAAAUAUUUAGAGAAAUCCUCAUGACUACAAUGCAAUAUUAUAACCUAUAGCUCUUUCUUUUCCCACUACCUGACGGUUACAUUUAUGGACAAUCUUCAAUUAUGUUCAGUGGCAAGGAGCAGAGAACCCACAGGCAAUUGAAAUCUCUACUAAUAAUUUUGGCUAACAAGGCAUUGUGCUUACGGUUUCCAGAGUGCUCUUCACAUACAUUAUCUGCAGCUACAGAUAAUUUGAAAUUCUCAAUCUGCCUGAGUUGCAAUUCCCUCUCCAUUAAACCCUUUGUCAGAGCUAUCAACAAAGAGUAAAGUGGAUCAUUUAUGAUUCCUCUCUAUUCUCCAGUCACAUUUUGCAGUAGAAAUGUGAAUAAGGAAAAGCUUAGCUAAAAGGCAGGAAGGCACAAGAAAAAUCAUCGGAAGCCUGGACAAGCUCUUUUCUAAAUACAGUCAUGCAUCACUUAAUGACUGGGAUAUGUUCUGAGAAAUGUGUCAUGAGGUGAUUUUGUCAUUGUAUGAGCACCACAGUGUGUACUUACACAAACCUAGAUGGUAUAGCCUGCUACACACCUAGGCUAUUUGGUAUAGCCUACUGCUCCUAGGCUACAUACCUAUACAGCAGGUUAUUAUACUCAGUACUGUAGGCAAUUGUAAUGAUGGUAUUUGUGUAUCUUAACAUAUCUAAACAUAGAAAAGGUAAAAAUAUGGUAUAGAAAUUUUUUUUUAAUGUUACACCUGUAUAGGGCACUUAACCAUGAAUAGAGCUUUCAAGAUUAGAAAUUACUGUGGCAAGUCGUGAGUGGUGAGUGAAUGUGGAGGCCUAACAUUACUGUAUACUCCUAUAUACUUUAUAAAUACUGUACACUUAGACUACACUAAGUUUCUUAAAUUUUUUCUUCAAUGAUAAAUUACCUUAUUUUACUGUAAAAGCUUUUAAUUUUUUUAACUUUUACUCUUUUGUUAUGACACUUAGCUUAAAGCACACAUUGUAUAGCUUAUAGCUGUACCAGUUAUUUCCUUUAUAGCCAUAUUCUAUAAACUUUUUUCUAUUUUAAAAAUGUUUAAUUUUUUAAAUCUUUGUUAUAAACUAAGGUACAAUUACACUCAUUGGCCUAUGUCUAUAUAGAGUCAAGAUCAUCAAUAUCACUGUCUUCCACUCCACAUCUUAUCCUAUUGGAAGGUCUUUAGGGGCAAUAACAUGCAUGGAGCUGUCACCUUCUGGAGGACUUGCCUGAGGCUGUUUUACAGUUAAUUUUUCUAAGUAGAAGGAAUGCACUCUAAAAUAAUGAUAAAAAGUAUUGUAUAGUAAGUGCAUAAACCGGUAAUACUUACUAUCAAGUAUUAUGUACUGUACGUAAGUGUAUAACCUAGACUUUUUACAGCUCAGUAGGUUUGUUUACACCAGUAUAAUCACAGACAUAGUGAGUAAUGUGUUGUGCUACAAUGUUACAAUUGUUCUGUCACUAGGCAGUAGUAAUUUUUCUGCUCCAUUAUAAUCUUAAGGGACCACUGUGGUAUAUGAGGUCUAUCACUGACCAAAAUGUCAUUAUGUGGUGCAUGACUGUAUUUGAAACUCAGCCCAAAUUAAAAUCUCUCUGAAAAAACAGAAUGUACCCUUUCCAUUGAAAUGCCUCUAACCUGAAAAUGGAAUCUACCAAAUAUUUUCAGUGGAAUCUUUCAUUACAAUAGAAAGCUAGAACUUGAUCUUUCUGUGUGGAGGAGUGCAAUUUAGCCACCCCAAUAGAUGAGCUGGAUUUCUUAAGUGUGGGCAACUCUCUUCCCUUGAGUAUCACUUGUUUUGGGGUUUGGAAACGUCCCAGGAGACUGAAGUGAUUUUACUUGCCUGUGGGAGGGUAGGGCAGAUAACCUGUGAAGUUCCUACUGCAGGCAGUGCCAGGACUGUGUACUAUUUUGAGGACUUCUCAGCAUAGGAGGUCAAAAGACUCAGCAGACUGUUCUUUUCACCCAGAACAUUACAGGAAAAUGGGGCUUUUCUAUCUACCAACCUGGAAAUCUUCAGAAAUUUAGCUUCUGAUUAGUACGCAUAUUACUCUCAUUAUCAUCAAUGAAUCAUAGAAAAGAAAUUUAUGUGGGGACUCUUCUUAAUGCGGGGGGGAUGUCACUCUGGUGCACAAUAGUAUCUUCCUUCUCUACUUUGUAAACCACUGACUGAUUCCACCACACCUGGCAUUCUGAUGAUAUAGUUAUUUACUGUUCACUAGUUAUUCACUGGUCACACAUUAGGCUUAUCCCUUCAACUAUAUCACAGCUUUUUAAUGGACAGGAACUAUUCCUCAGACAUAUGUUGAAAAGCUUUCUCUGUUCCUAGCAUAAGGUUGAGCACUAAGAAAAACAGUACAUGUAUUAAACUGAACUGAAAGUCUGUUCCUGAGGAUGAAUGAACUCGAGGAGAAGCUUGUAAAGCACCUGUUACAUGUGGAGUCUUAAUAUGAAAAACUCACUGGAGCUCUGUGGUUCCUUGGUUCCCGGGCAUAGGAAAGCUCAUAGAUUUCAUCCUCAGUGUAGUAAAGAUCCAGGGAUAACUGCAGAUCAAAGCAGAACAGGGUUCAUUGCUAAGAUGCUGUUUGCCUCUCCCACAGCUGAUGGUUCUUUCUUGGAUUUUCCUUGCCAGUAGUUUACUCUUUUAGGUUCUAAACAGUUUGUUUUUAAAAGUCACAAAACAGGUAUAACACCUACUAUUGCAAUAGGGCAAGCAUUAAUUCUCAUUGAAAUGUUUUUAAUUUUGGACAUAGGAUGCCCUCUUUUUAACUAUGAUUUAAAUCUAAGCCUCUAUAUAGAGCUUAGGCCAAAGGCCUUGUCUGGACAGAUGACUAAUACAUCACUUGUUCUCUCUCAAAGCAGACAGAUGAUCUGAAAGGAUGGUGUGUAUAGUCUGAGACUAUUAAAUUUGAGUCCAGCAAUAAAAUCCAGUUUAAAUGGUGUGACCAUAUGACAUGGUUCAGCCAGCAGAAUGUUGAGUGGAAGCGAUGUAACUUUGGAGGCAAAGAUGUAAGAGCCAGUGAGUGGUCUGCCAUGUUGCCUUCCUACUGCUGCAGAGAUCUUGGAAAUUCCUGGCAAGAUGAAGCCUCCAUCAUCUGGGUUCCUGGGGAACUCUGAUCAGCCUCUGCUGACCCAUGUUAGACAUGCAGUGUGAGUGAAAAAUAAACUUUUGCUUAAUUAAGCCACUGAGAUUGUACAGGAGGUGGGUGGGUGGGGGGUUAUUACUACAGUACACCUUAGUUCUGCCUAAGUAGUAAAUAUAUAGAUGAGAAGUCACAACCCAAAUAAAAUAGCUGCAAAUUAACUGAGCCCCAUUUUACUGUGCUAUAUGGCUGCUGAUGGGUGGAAAACCUAUGAGUAGGACCAAAAUCGCUCCUUAAGAGAGAUAUAUAAAGCAAACAUCUUACUGGUUCUAAAAGAAAGUAGCCACAACUCAUUGCAUAUAUUUUGAAUAUAUUCAUUCAAUUAAUAUAUUCCAGUGAAUACAUUUAAUACCCCCCUCCCACUAUAAAUAUAACUUUAAAUCCACUUGUUUUUUUAAAACAAUUAUCCCAGUAACAUCCUCACUACCCCUAAAGUUUUGUAAUAAACAGAAGAUAUCAAAUGCCUUUCAAUUCACAGCACAGAUAAAUUUCCCUCCAACCUCAUGUUGGAGAGAAAACUUGUGUUUGGUAAAACUGUUUAGCACUGUACAGGAAAAACAAAAAAACCCUGAGAUAGUCUUCUAUGAAGGGACCAAGCCACUCAAAAGAAAUGAAGGUUGAAACUGAUGUUUUCACUUGCAAAUAGAACACUGUUCAACCCCUGGGGACACUGGCUGGGAUUCCUCGUUCUGCACUGAUUUUUCACUUCUGCCUCCACUGAUGUGAGCAUUGGCAUCAAGCAGACAUCCUGCAGGCCUGACCAAGCAGCCUGCCAGUUUGACCCCUGCAGAGCUCAGAUUUCCUGUGUGAUAAAUGGCUUUUUUCAGUGGCUCAGCUCUGACUGCUGUCCUUCCCUGUGACGGGGAGGCACUGCCAAAUGGGAACUCCUGAGGCAGAGCUUUUCAAUUUGGGUCUGGGGUACUGAGGGGUGCAGAGAAUGGAGAGUUAAUGCUUGGAGAAGUUAUUUCCAAAUGGAAGCUGGGAGCUUCCUGGCUGAGUGACCAAACAGCUGCGUGAAAACAGAAGGGCUGUCAAUAUUAUGAAUGAAAAUGUAAAAUAACCUUUGUAACCUGAUUUGCAGGUCUCCUUCCAGACACAACUGAGCUCAACAAAUUGGUGCUGAGUGACUGAGAGAGGCAUGUAGUCCUAGCCCCAGCUUUGACUGUAAUCAGCUGUGUCGACCUUGUUCAAGUCAGCCCUCUGGGCCUCCAUCCCCUCACCAGGAGAAUACUGGUCAUUUUAAUAAAUGGACCCAGCAACUAGGUGGUCACUAUUUUUAGCACGGAGGUGAAGACUGUAUCUGUUGGUAGGGGUAGGGGCUAAGUGGAAUAAGGGUUUCAUUUCUCAGGAAAGCACAUUAGCCAGUGAGGGUCUGUUGGCAUCUGACAUGUUGACAAGUUCUCUUGCAUAGAACUAAUAUUCUUUGGGAUCACAUAUGGAUUGCAGUGAGGAAAGGAUGAACCUGUACUCUUUCUGUACCUGAUGAUCAACUGAAAUCUCUCUCCCUUUGACUCUGCUUAGUUGCCCCAGUUGAAAGGUUUUGGGUCAGCACAGCUUAUCUCUAGAAUCACAGUGACUUCUGGGCCAGGACCACUUCAAGGAUUUAGGUAUGUUCUGGGCUAGGGCAGUAGAAUCUAUUUUGGGAUUUCCCAGAGCCAUUCAAAGCUUACCCCAGAAUGAAUUCAAACUCUGAGAGGACAUAUCCUCUCCCCGCCCCCGCACCCCCCCCCCUUUUUUUUUUUGAGGAAGAUUUUAAAAAGAGUUGUUGAAGCCUAAUGAUUAUCAGGGGUAUGAGGAUUAUCAGGGGUAUGAGGGUAGAAUGAGAGAGACAGAGAGAGAGAGAGAGAGAGAGAGUGUGUGUGUGUGUGUGUGAUGUGUGCCCACAGUAUGGUAACUUGAGUGAGUGGUGGGAUGGUAUGGGGCGGGGGCAUGGAAGAAGAGAGAUGGGAGAAGCACAGGAGUCACAAUCAAAGGAAUUCAGAUGGUACUGAUUUUUUCAGACUCUAUGAUGUCUGGCAGGAAAGCCUGCCACGACUUGAGGGGGCCUCUAAGGUUAUGAAGCGGAUGGGCUGUUGAAUUAUCAUCUUAUUUUCAGAAAUAUCCCAGGGAAGAUUUUUCUCCUGCCCCUUGCAUACAUACCGAUAUCCUCCGGAAAGACUUGAACUCAAGGUAGGUGAGGUGCUCGGAUAGCUCUUCUGGUUCCAGAUGGUCAAAGAGCAGGGAGACUUUCCGUUUCUUGCUGGUAUUUGAUUUUAUCCUUUGAGUAAGUUUCCUGGACCAGUCACGGGCAUUGCUUUUGUGGGUAAAUGUGAAAGGGAGAAGACAGGGAAAAGGAAUAAAUCGCUUUUUGCAAGUAAAUCCAUUAACAUUUCUCACAAGAAUAUACAAAACACCAUUAGCUAACUUUCCUUGUGAAUGCCAAAACAGUGCAUUCACAGAGUUUCUCCAAAUCAGUUUUUUUCCAUGGCAGCCUCCAGGAGGUCUUGCUGGUUUUCAGUGAGCCUUUUAAGUGUGCAGUUGGGUACAGGAUAAAUGAGUUUACUUUAAGGCAGUGGGAAGGAAGGAGUCUCAGGUAUCGGUCAGUUUCCUUGCCUUUGGUCCUGGCUCCUUUGUGUAUCAUCUGGUAUGUCUGCUCCCUCCAUUCUGCUUGUGUGUUCCUUCAUUCUUGUGUGAAUGAUAGGGACUCUCUAUCUGGUUGGAAAUCCCAAGGCAGUGAAACAGUUUUCAUGCCAGAAAGAGAGCUCAAAGAACCACAGCAAGAUGUCAUAAAGGGAGGGAAUCACGCGUAGAAACAUAUGGUCACUCUUGGCAGAGUUGUGUCAUUUUCCUCAAAUGUCCUCAGCUACUGAAAUGACCAAGGAAGCCUAGCUGACCCUAGAGUGCGCCCUGCCCCCAUUAUUUUCUUGUAAUCAACCCAUGCAUUUCUUAUUCAGUUUCCUUCACUAAACAAGCAAAGGGAAGCGGCCCCAUUUUGAAAGACAGCAGGUUGCCUGUCUUCCAAACUGGUAUUCCUGGGAACCUUGUCUCUUGAUAAAAGGGUUCUGUGGUCAAUGAGCUUGGGAAGUGCUAUAAAUUCUGUAGCCUCUUUGGCCAGUGAGCAUAUUACACACUCUGAAAAGCACUGCAAAAGGAAAGUUUAACUCAUUAUUCCUCAGUUAUAUCUGGCCAAGUAAUAUCCCACAGACUAAUAAUUCCUACAGAAUAUAAUGUGGAAAAUUUUGGUCAAGAAAAGUCAGCUAGGAAAUACUGGGACAAGGAGAGCUGGGGUUGAGAAUUGCCCUGGGCUCUAAUUUCAUCUUUAAAAUGAAGAAACUAUUACUUUGAAUAAUCUCUUAUCUUUCAAGUUGUGUAAUUUUAAGCAGAGAAGUACAGAGAAUCCAAACUGAUAAACAGACUUAUUUGGGGCUCUGGAAUGUAAUCUUGAAAUCAUUUCUACGUGGCUACAGUGCAUCAUGGACAGGACCUCAGAGGCUAGCUGCUGCUCUGUCACUAGCUUAACUAGCUGGACCCUAGAUGAGUCACAUUCUUGCUGAGCCUCAAUUUCCCAGUCAGAAAAAUCAGGAUGUUGGAUGAAAUGAUCUCUAGAAUAUAUAUCAGUUCUAGAAUUCUAUUUCUUAGGGAUUUGUACUAUUUCAAAAUAAAGCAGCCACACUGUGAAAACCCUGGCAUACAAAGCAUACAUUCCCCUCCCCCUAAUUAGGAAAGGCACUCAUUUUCCCAGAAUGGGUCAGUCUUAUAAAUAAGAAUUCCAAGGAAUAAUUUAAAACAUUCCUGGAAUCCCAUCCAGCUCUGGAAGUCUAAGUGUCUUUCAUAGACAUCCAUAUAUGUUAUAAGCCUUCUCCUGAAUACAUUUUUUAGUCCUGUCCCAUUUACAAGUUCAGGUGUGCCUCCUGGCAUUAAGCGUGGGUUCAGUCAUUUGCACUUUCAGUUUUUCAUUAUCUGGAUUAAUUUUAGUCAAUAUCUUGCUACCUGAUUUCUUUUUGACUGGGACUUACUUUUUCUGCUCCUGGAUAUGUCACCUACUGCUUUAUCACCAUGAGGCCUCUCUGCUUUUCUGUUAAAUGCCAAGCCUUCACUUUGGUGAGGCAGUUUGAACCUGUGUAUUUGAGGGGCUUCUCAGAGUGGAGAAAGAGAGCAGCAGUCACCGCUGGGGGUCAGAAGCCCAACAAGCAACUGGGAUUAUAUUACAGGAGGGAGGUGGUUUCGAAAGAUGAGUCAAGACCUUGACACUCACAUUUGAGUUGUGUCAAUCAGGCGGCAAUGUAACUCCUCACCCUUAGCUUUCACCAGUUCCUGAAACUCCUCCAUAGUGUCUGUCAAGCUGGCGUCCAUUUUAAACAUGACCCAGAAUUCUGUUAUCCAAUACCUACAAGGAGGGGGUUAAAAAACACAAUCCAAAACUGAUACCAAGGACUCACAAUUUGUUGGGUUCCAAAAGGAAUUUACUGCCACAAAGAGAACUCAGAAAAAGACAAAGUCUGAUUCGUCUAUUAGUAUAUUGAAGGAGCUGGGGUGGGAGCAGGGAAGGAAGAAAACCCAUCCACUGAAAAUCUUCUGUCCCUCCACACAAAUGCUGUGGUAGGAUAAGGCAUAGCAUAAUCAAAGGAGCCAUGACAAAGAUUCAGGCACAAUCAUGUGGGUUGGAGAUAAUUAUAAGGGAGAGAACUAUAGAUAAACCAAAUGUCCAAAAUGAGACAAUCUAUUCAUAGAUUAUGCUUUAUCAUAUUCGAAUAUUACAUGGCUAUUAAAAAGAAUGUUUACAAAAAGUCUUUAAUGACUAGAGAAGAUUCUCAUGCUAUAAAGCUAAGUGAAAACUAUAAGAUAUAAAACCGUAUAUAUAUUUUCAUCUCAAAAAAAUUGACAUGAAAACAAGACAAAGGAAAUACACCAAAAUAGGUAACUGGAUAUGAGUGAUCAUUAUUAUAGUUAUAUUCUUUUCUACAUUUUUAAAAAUGUUCUAUAAUGAGCUAUAUUACUUGUAUAAUUAAGAACAAAAAUAAAGAAAAUAACAGACCUUUAA